ACUAAUAUUAUAAAGCUGAAGAGUUUUUUUUUUUGUUUGUUUGAACGCGCUAAUCUCCGAAACUAUUGGUCCGAUUUGAAUAAUUAUUUUUGUGUUGGGUAGUGCAUGUAUCGAGGAAGGCUAUAGGCUAUAAAACAUCACGCUAUGACUGAUAGAAGCCAAGCAGAGCGGGUGAAACCGCGCGGAAGUAGCUAGUAUCACAUAAAAAUACCAAAAUAUAACACUCAGAUUACAUUAAAAUAUUUUUAUUAACAAUAAUAAUAAUAACACACUUUUUUAUUUACAACUUUAAAUAUUUACAAUACACAACGUCACGUCUUUUUUAUCCUCGAAGGGGUAGGCAGAGGUGCACUAUACAAUGUACACCUACUUUUCAUUAACUACUUAAUAACUCAUUUGUGUUAUAGGUCCCAUGUAAUAGAGGGUGAGCCUAUUGCCAUAUACUGGACACAGUUGCAAGCUCCGUGCUACUACUGAGAUUUUUUUCGGAAAACAAAAAAAGAACCAGUAAUGUUUUGU